rnacentral:rRNA from 2 species
GGACCCGCACAAGCAGCGGAGCAUGUGGUUUAAUUCGAAGCAACGCGAAGAACCUUACCAGGGCUUGACAUCCCCCUGACAGGUCGGUAAAACGACCCUUCUUCGGACAGGGGAGACAGGUGGUGCAUGGUUGUCGUCAGCUCGUGUCGUGAGAUGUUGGGUUAAGUCCCGCAACGAGCGCAACCCUUGCCGUUAGUUGCCAUCAGUUUGGCUGGGCACUCUAACGGGACUGCCGGGGACAACUCGGAGGAAGGUGGGGAUGACGUCAAAUCAUCAUGCCCCUUAUGUUCUGGGCUACACACGUGCUACAAUGGCCGGUACAAAGAGACGCAAUACGGCGACGUGGAGCAAAUCACUAAAAACCGGUCCCAGUUCGGAUUGCAGGCUGAAACCCGCCUGCAUGAAGUCGGAGUUGCUAGUAAUCGUGAAUCAGAAUGUCACGGUGAAUACG